AGUGGCGAACGGGUGAGUAAUACAUCGAGAACGUGCCCAGUCGUGGGGGAUAACUACUCGAAAGAGUAGCUAAUACCGCAUACGAUCUGAGGAUGAAAGCGGGGGACCUUCGGGCCUCGCGCGAUUGGAGCGGCCGAUGGCAGAUUAUGUAUUGGUGGGAUAAAAGCUUACCAAGCCGACGAUCUGUAGCUGGUCUGAAGGACGACCAGCCACACUGGGACUGAGACACGGCCCAGACUCCUACGGAGGCAGCAGUGGGGAAUUUUGGACAAUGGGCGAAAGCCUGAUCCAGCAAUGCCGCGUGCAGAUGAAGGCCUUCGGGUUGUAAACUGCUUUUGUACGAACGAAAAAGCUUCCCCAAAUACGAGAGGCCCAUGACGGUACCGUAAGAAUAAGCACCGGCUAACUACGUGCCAGCAGCCGCGGUAAUACGUAGGGUGCGAGCGUUAAUCGGAAUUACUGGCGUAAAGCGUGCGCAGGCGGUUAUGUAAGGCAGAUGUGAAAUCCCCGGGCUCAACCUGGGAACUGCAUUUGUGACUGCAUGGCUAGAGUACGGUAGAGGGGGAUGGAAUUCCGCGUGUAGCAUGAAAUGCGUAGAUAUGCGGAGGACACCGAUGGCGAAGGCAAUCCCCUGGACCUGUACUGACGCUCAUGCACGAAAGCGUGGGGAGCAAACAGGAUUAGAUACCCUGGUAGUCCACGCCCUAAACGAUGUCAACUGGUUGUUGGGAAUUAGUUUUCUCAGUAACGAAGCUAACGCGUGAAGUUGACCGCCUGGGGAGUACGGCCGCA
rnacentral:rRNA from 1 species